AACGAACGCUGGCGGCAUGCCUAACACAUGCAAGUCGAACGAGACCUUCGGGUCUAGUGGCGCACGGGUGCGUAACGCGUGGGAACCUGCCCUUAGGUUCGGAAUACCUCCCCGAAAGGGGUGCUAAUACCGGAUAAUGUCUUCGGACCAAAGAUUUAUCGCCUUUGGAUGGGCCCGCGUUGGAUUAGCUAGUUGGUAGGGUAAAAGCCUACCAAGGCGACGAUCCAUAGCUGGUCUGAGAGGAUGAUCAGCCACACUGGGACUGAGACACGGCCCAGACUCCUACGGGAGGCAGCAGUGGGGAAUAUUGGACAAUGGGCGAAAGCCUGAUCCAGCAAUGCCGCGUGAGUGAUGAAGGCCUUAGGGUUGUAAAGCUCUUUUACCCGGGAUGAUAAUGACAGUACCGGGAGAAUAGGCACCGGCUAACUCCGUG
rnacentral:rRNA from 1 species